rnacentral:rRNA from 1 species
UACCCGCAGCACAAGUGGUGGUCAUUAUUAUUGGGCCUAAAGCGUCCGUAGCUGGCCUGUUAGAGCCUGGGUAAAUCGAUGCGCUCAACGUAUCGAACUCCGGGUAGACCGGCAGGCUUGGGACCGGGAGAGGCGUGAGCUACUCGAGGGGUAGGGGUAAAAUCCUGUAAUCCUUCGGGGAGGACCAGUGGCGAAGGCGUCACGCUAGAACGGCUCCGACAGUGAGGGACGAAGCCCUGGGGCGCAAACCGG